CCACCAUUUCAUCAACUCCACACACCUUCUCAUUAAAUAUGCGAUCAAUUCUCAUCUUCUAAACCACCCACACGACGGCGUGCCAAAUUAACCAAGCCCCUCGUCUAAGCUUUUUAGACCGCACCUCACUCAUCCAACAAGUAGCAUGAAUAAACAAAUUGGGAUGUGUGAUAAAACUAAAAUUCAGCCACCUCAUCACCUCCGUCCACACCUUCGAAAUCACUCGACAAUGAAGAAAAAGAUGAUUGGCCGUUUCAUGUUCACCGUCGCCAAACACACCUUUUUAACUAUGUAUAUUAAUACCAAAUAUUUCUAAAACUGAGCAAUCAUUGUGUUAAUUAGAAUUAUAGUUAUAUUAAUCAUAGAUUUUUUUUUUUGAGGGAAUCAUAGAUUAUUUAUAAAGUAAAAUAUUCUAAACAAAUUAUAAUCAAACCUUGAAAAGGGUAAAAGAUUAGUUAUGUAAAACAAAGGGGAUCUUGUCUUAUGAUGAUCAUUGCUUACAUCAUUAGAGAAACAAAGAACAAUCACAUCAAAGCAAACCUUAACAAAAUAUUCAUUUUUUAUUGGUGAAUGUCAAACAAUAAGUCUAAACCCCUUUGUCCUUAAUAAUAAUUUUAAAAGGAACAGGUUGUUCGAGACGUUCUUCUUCGCGUUGUUCGCGACGAUGGUCAAUGGAGAGACAAACAAACGACAUAAUGGAGAAAAAACAACUGAUCCACUCAAAUUUCCUUCUAUCUUCAUGAGAGACACCAAAGUACAUUGGAACAUAAGUAAAAGCCAACUUGACAAAGAAAAGGAAAAUGCUUAACUUAUACAUUCGACUCAUGACCAUUGAUAGAUAGUCACAACCUGAAAUCAAAGAAAGUAGUAAAAUUAUAGCGAAAUACAUGAACCAAAAAAACACAAAAUGCAGAUUUAAUUCAAGGGAGAAAUAAACAUGUUUCUAAUAUGUUGUUAAUGGGAUGUUAUACAUGAAAAAAAUAAGCUUAUUAGAAGUUUAAUUAUACUAAAUGGGCUACCAUUUAAAAAAGUAAAAAUAUUGAAAAAAUUAUACUCUCCUCCGUUAUAAAAUUAAUUAAAAGUAUG
rnacentral:lncRNA from 1 species